AUUGAACGCUGGCGGCGUGCCUAACACAUGCAAGUCGAGCGGUAACAGGUGUAGCAAUACAUGCUGACGAGCGGCGAACGGGUGAGUAAUGCUUCGGAAUCUACCCAAUGGUGGGAAUAACCGAGCCGAAAGGUUGGCGUAAUACCGCAUACGUCCCACGGGAGGAAAAGCAGGGAUCGCAAGACCUUGCGCCAAUGGAUGAGCCGAAGUCGGAGUUAGCUAGUUGGA
rnacentral:rRNA from 1 species